GACGAACGCUGGCGGCAUGCCUAACACAUGCAAGUCGAGCGAGUUGAUCCCUUCGGGGUGAAGCUAGCGGCGGACGGGUGAGUAACACGUGGGCAACCUACCUCAUAGAGGGGAAUAGCCUUCCGAAAGGAAGAUUAAUACCGCAUAAGAUUGUAGUACCGCAUGGUAUAGCAAUUAAAGGAGUAAUCCGCUAUGAGAUGGGCCCGCGGCGCAUUAGCUAGUUGGUGAGGUAACGGCUCACCAAGGCGACGAUGCGUAGCCGACCUGAGAGGGUGAUCGGCCACAUUGGGACUGAGACACGGCCCAGACUCCUACGGGAGGCAGCAGUGGGGAAUAUUGCACAAUGGGGGAAACCCUGAUGCAGCAAUGCCGCGUGAGUGAUGACGGCCUUCGGGUUGUAAAGCUCUGUCUUCGGGGACGAUAAUGACGGUACCCGAGGAGGAAGCCACGGCUAACUACGUGCCAGCAGCCGCCGUAA
rnacentral:rRNA from 1 species